AUUGAACGCUGGCGGCAUGCUUUACACAUGCAAGUCGGACGGCAGCACAGAGACGCUUGCUUCUUGGGUGGCGAGUGGCGAACGGGUGAGUAACAUAUCGGAACGUACCGAGCAGUGGGGGAUAACUAAUCGAAAGAUUAGCUAAUACCGCAUAUCUUCUGAGGAAGAAAGCAGGGGACCAUUUGGCCUUGCGCUGUUUGAGCGGCCGAUAUCUGAUUAGCUAGUUGGUGGGGUAUAGGCCUACCAAGGCGACGAUCAGUAGCGGGUCUGAGAGGAUGAUCCGCCACACUGGGACUGAGACACGGCCCAGACUCCUACGGGAGGCAGCAGUGGGGAAUUUUGGACAAUGGGCGCAAGCCUGAUCCAGCCAUGCCGCGUGUCUGAAGAAGGCCUUCGGGUUGUAAAGGACUUUUGUCAGGGAAGAAAAGGGCGGGGUUAAUACCCCUGUCUGAUGACGGUACCUGAAGAAUAAGCACCGGCUAACUACGUG
rnacentral:rRNA from 1 species